UGGGGAAUCUUCCGCAAUGGGCGAAAGCCUGACGGAGCAAUGCCGCGUGAGUGAAGAAGGCCUUCGGGUUGUAAAACUCUGUCCUUAUCGAAGAGAGGUGGGUAUGUGAAUAAUGUACCUAUAGGACGGUAGAUAAGGAGGAAGCCCCGGCUAACUACGUGCCAGCAGCCGCGGUAAUACGUAGGGGGCGAGCGUGUCCGGAAUCACUGGGCGUAAAGGGCGCGUAGGCGGUUUAAUAAGUCAGUGGUGAAAAGCUGAGGGCUCAACCCUCAGCCUGCCACUGAUACUGUUAGACUUGAGUAUGGAAGAGGAGAAUGGAAUUCCUAGUGUAGCGGUGAAAUGCGUAGAUAUUAGGAGGAACACCAGUGGCGAAGGCGAUUCUCUGGGCCAAGACUGACGCUGAGGCGCGAAAGCGUGGGGAGCAAAGCAGGAUUAGAUACCC
rnacentral:rRNA from 1 species